rnacentral:rRNA from 1 species
GAUGAACGCUGGCGGCGUGCCUAACACAUGCAAGUCGAACGGGGUUACACGAGUAGCAAUACUUGUGCAACCUAGUGGCGGACGGGUGAGUAACGCGUGAGCAACCUACCUUCCAGAGGGGGAUAACACAGGGAAACCUGUGCUAAUACCGCAUAAAGUACAGUGGGGGCAUCCCUGCAGUACCAAAGGAGCAAUCCGCUGGGAGAUGGGCUCGCGUCCGAUUAGGUAGUUGGUGGGGUAACGGCUCACCAAGCCGACGAUCGGUAGCCGGACUGAGAGGUUGGCCGGCCACAUUGGGACUGAGACACGGCCCAGACUCCUACGGGAGGCAGCAGUGGGGAAUAUUGGGCAAUGGGCGGAAGCCUGACCCAGCGACGCCGCGUGAGGGAAGACGGCCUUCGGGCUGUAAACCUCAGUUAUACGGGACGAAGGAAGUGACGGUACCGUAAGAGAAAGCCACGGCUAACUACGUGCCAGCAGCCGCGUAAUAUAGCGUACU